GGAAGGGAAGACAGAAGGUUUAAAGACAGGAAGAGGAAGGGAAGACAGAAGGCUUAAAGACAGGGAGAGGAAGGGAAGACAGAAGGUUUAAAGACAGGGAGAGGAAGGGAAGAGAGAAGGUUUAAAGACAGGAAGAGGAAGGGAAGACAGAAGGUUUAAAGACAGGGAGAGGAAGGGAAGACAGAAGGUUUAAAGACAGGGAGAGGAAGGGAAGACAGAAGGUUUAAAGACAGGGAGAGGAAGGGAAGAGAGAAGGUUUAAAGACAGGGAGAGGAAGGGAAGAGAGAAGGUUUAAAGACAGGGAGAGGAAGGGAAGACAGAAGGUUUAAAGACAGGGAGAGGAAGGGAAGACAGAAGGUUUAAAGACAGGGAGAGGAAGGGAAGAGAGAAGGCUUAAAGACAGGGAGAGGAAGGGAAGACAGAAGGUUUAAAGACAGGGAGAGGAAGGGAAGAGAGAAGGCUUAAAGACAGUGAGAGGAAGGGAAGACAGAAGGUUUAAAGACAGGGAGAGGAAGGGAAGA
rnacentral:lncRNA from 1 species